AUGUCAGUUCCCCUAAAGUUAGCACAGGUGGAGUUCAUUACAUUAACAGAACACCCCACCGGCCCGGACACUGGACCAGCUUCAGGACACAGCAGGUACGAGCACAGAGGUCAGCCAAGGGAUUCCAGAGGGAGCACAGCAACUGAGUCGGAGAUGAGGCAGCUCUUCCUGGGCUCCAUGGAAAAGUUUGUGCUUCAAGCAGUUCAACCUGAAGUGCAUUUCCACCCGAAAGUCUGAGGAAUUGCAGAGCUGAUUAUUCAACAAGGUUUCUCUAUAAAGUCAACAGUUUCUCUAUUUACCUCUCCUAUUGAGAACCGCUUUCUAAUUCCAUUUGAUUUAGGGAGAAAAUCCAAGACAUCCUUCGAGCCACAACAGGUGCGCAUGUUUUUUAUGCUCAUAUGUGAAUUUUUUCUUUUUAGUUUAUUUUUUUACAUUUUAUUUUAAUUACAUUUAAUAUGCUUAUGUAUAGACACACUAAAGAUUUGAUGCAUAAACAAUUUUCAUUUAGAAAUUGCUAGUAUUUACUAAGUAAUUGCAAAGAAACAGCCAGUAAUGCAUUGAAUUAGGAAAUUUUGAAGUAGAAAGAUUGAAAUAAUACUUUCUUUUAAAACAACCUUUGAGAAUUUUUAUUUUUUCUUACAUCAAAAUAUAUUUGCAUCUGUAUAAUCUAGUAAUAUCUAUCUGAUACACUAAUGCUUUAAAUCAUUUAAAUAAGAACAUCUGCUGAAUGAGUAUAUUCAAAUCUGUUAUGUUGGAAUAUAAUUGUUUUGUGAUUGCAAUGUAAUUUUAUUUUAAUUAAUGCAUAUCAUGACCUAUUUCAAAAUCUGUAAUUUAUUUUUUAUCAGGGUUUUUCAUACCUUAUCUCUGUGUGUUCCCACAGACACAUUUUACAACUGACUUGCGCCUCAAGGCAGAACAUUGGGUUAUAAACUCUAUUCAUCACAUAAAUUGUGAUACCUGCGGUAUUUCCUGUUGUUGCUGACUUCUGAGUCAUGGCUUUUUCUGACCUGCUGGAGCGAGGUUGGCAGCACGAGGGCGCCUUCCACGGUCCUGCAUCGUUCUGUUAUGUUGAAUAUAAUGUUUUGUGAUUGCAAUGUAAUUUUAUUUAAUUAAUGCAUAUCAUGACCUAUUUCAAAUCUGUAAUUAUUUUUAUCAGGGUUUUUCAUACCUUAUCUCUGUGUGUUCCCACAGACACAUUUUACAACUGACUUGCGCCUCAAGGCAGAACAUUGGGUUAGUAAACUCUAUUCAUCACAUAAAUUGUGAUACCUGCGGUAUUUCCUG
rnacentral:lncRNA from 1 species